rnacentral:rRNA from 1 species
UACGUAGGGUGCAAGCGUUGUCCGGAAUUAUUGGGCGUAAAGAGCUCGUAGGCGGCUUGUCACGUCGACUGUGAAAACCCGGGGCUCAACUCCGGGCCUGCAGUCGAUACGGGCUGGCUUGAGUGCGGUAGGGGAGACUGGAAUUCCUGGUGGAGCGGUGAAAUGCGCAGAUAUCAGGAGGAACACCGGUGGCGAAGGCGGGUCUCUGGGCCGUAACUGACGCUGAGGCGCGAAAGCUAGGGGAGCAAACAGG